rnacentral:tRNA from 1 species
GGGGCUAUAGCUCAAUGGCUAGAGCGUGGGAAACUGAUCAACCCAAACGGUUCAUGGUUCAAGUCCAUGUAGCUCCACCA